ensembl:lncRNA
GUGUACGAUGAAAUUACACACAAAACCCAUCUCGCUCUUCACACUGAUUCUGCUGUUUCACACUGUCCAAGCAGAAGCAUCUCAUGAUGAGGCUCUGAGGAUCCUGGUUGUGGGAGUCAGAGGUCAGUCCAGAUUCAGUGCUGCAGAUCUUCUGUCAGGAAGGAAAGACGGAGGACAGGAGGACAGAGAGAUUGUAAAGACUCCAGUAAUUACAGACGGGGCUCGUAGAAUGAUGCUGGUCACUGGACCAAACCUCUGUGAGGAGGACACAGAGAGACAGACCUUCACAACAGCGCUGUUUCUCUCGUCUCCUGGACCUCACGCCGUUCUAAUGGUCCUGAAUCUGGAAGAUCAACAAUCACAACAGUGUGAUAUUGAGAAACGAGCCCAGGAGCUGCUGGGAGCAGAAGUCCUCCAGUACUGCAUUGUUCUUCUGCUCCAAAAUCACCAGGAACCUUUGACAGGAGCCUCCAGAGGGAUUGCUGGAGAAAUGAUCAACGCAUGUGGAGGAAGAUUUCACAUCAUAAGAGACUCUGAACCAAAACCUGCUCAAAGAACAACUCUUAUAACAGAAAUACACAAGUUAGUUCGGCUCAAUGAUCACAGAUUUCACUCAGCACUGAGUGAAAAGUUAGAAGCAGAUGAAACCAUUCAAGAUGUGCAUGAACAAAAUCAAAUCCUCUCUGAAACACAUGACAGUUCAGCAGAAACUGCACGAUGGAUUUUACUCAUUUUACUGAACACUGCUUUUAUUUUCACUAAAAUAACGCAUGAACAUUUUCAUUUUGCGGAAAUAUUAUUUGUACUUGUUAGUUUUACGGUCACUAUAAGAAAUAUUCUCAAUCCAGAUGUUGCUGUUCCUUUAAAUUUGAUCCUAUCCUCCACUUUCCCAGUAGCUGUUGCAUAUCAUGACCUUGCAAAUUCGCGACAUGGACACCAAAUCAUAAUGUUUUUAGUCAUGAUCUUUACAUUUCCCAGUAUAGUGUUCAUAGCCGGUCUAGGACUGACUGUAGGAACAGCUGUCAGUGUACGGACGUGGUCAGAUGUGCUCAUAGCGUGCCAUGCUGCUCCCGGGGUCACAUUCGGGGCUCAUUUAUACACUAUUUACUCCAUUAUACCAGAUCAAAUGCAAGCUCGGACAACUCUAGUUUUUGCAUUCAAGUUAUUACUGUUUUGUUUUGUUGGAGUGACGCUCUCAAUGGGGUUUGUGACUGUAUUUGCUCUGUUUGGUGUGGAGAGAGCAAUAUUUCUGCUAAUAUUAGGAUUUACAAAAGCGUUUUUCCAUUUAAAGAGUGAUGCUGUGAAAUUUAUUGUUUUUUUCUUGAUUUUUCCAUGCUGUUGUGUAUUUAUUGGUUCUUUAAUUUCAUUUUUAUGCCGUGUAUUAUUUCAUUAUAUUUUCACAGUAAUUGGUAGCUGAUAAUAGUGACCAAAUCAAAAGAGACUAACAGAUUUUGGAUCAUAAGUUAAUGCUGAUUUUGAUUUUUUUUAUGUUAAUAUUUCAAACACGUAUUGAUGUUUCUUCAAGGAUGGGAACUUUUGGCCCAACACUAGUUCAUUUAAUUUGUUUACCAACGAGGGUUUAACAUCGGGUUUACAGAUGUCACAGGAAAAACAUUUACUGCACAUUUUAAAUGAUGUAUUAUGUUUAUCAGUGUUAUGUGGUGAAGGUUUUUUUUUUUUUCCUGAAAUAAAAUGCCUAUUUUCAUAGUUUGAAAAUACACACAAUGAAAAAAAUAUUUUGAUACUUUAAACAUAAUUUUGCAUAAAUAAAAACAGACAUUUCUGAAUUCUGCUGUUAUGCAUUCAUUAGAUGCAUAAAAAAAAAAAAACAUAAUUUAUUUAAUAGUCCCUCUUUGUUUAGAUCUCAUUUACUUACUAUACUGAAGUCUCAAACAAACCCCUGACUGUCACAUUCACUGUAAUGAGGAAUGACUCCUAAUCAAUAACCAUUUGAUUUGAGAUUUUUGAAGAUUUUACUUUAGAACAGAUAUCAUCUACUAAAACAUCUCCUGGACAAAUGAACGAAGACUAUCACUAUAACAGUAUGCAAUGUCCACUUACUUGCUCUGCAGACAAAUCAAUGCAGUUUUACUGGAAAUAGUUCAAAUAAUGCUGAUGUUGUGAUUGAUUUUAACCAGCAGUGCAGAUCAGAUGUUCUCAACUGGAAAUUAAACUGUAAAUAAAAAUAAAACUGACAGUAUGAAACAUGCAAAUAGUACUUAAAUAUAAUUUGUUAUCAAACCUCUCGAAUACUCCUCCAUCAACAAGAAUAUUAAGAGCUGAUCAAAACAAUGCUGUGCAUUAAGUGUCUUUAAGGGAAUCAAUCUGGAUUAAUUUUACUGCUGUCAGCUUUAAAUGAAAAUGCAAAGCCACACUCUUGCUUCUAAGAGUAUUUUAAUUAUGUUCUACAAAACCAUUCAUGUCUAAUACCUUAAAGGGAUCCCCGGACAUUAAGACAUGUAUAGCUUAAUAUAACAUGAAUGAUGUCUCUUAUUGAAAUAUGUAAUAAAAACCCCGUGAAAGAUGUAUGUUAUUUUAAAAAAUAGACAUUGUUUUUACACUAUGGGGGGCACCAUUAUUUUAUGUGCACAGUACAUUCUGCGUUAAUGACGUCAAAUGGUUGCACUCGGUGAGCUACUGCUGCUUUUUACCGUGACAACUCAGAAUACACAACUCAAGAAAAUAAAAUACUGAUACGAUACCACGUUGUGUGGCUUUUGGAUGUAAUUUUUAGUUGAAGGGCAACAAAAGAAGCAAUAUAGGACUUCACUGAUUUCCUAGCGAUAAGAAGAGGAGAAAAGAAUGGGAAGAUGCAUGUGGACGAAUAAGACUUCCCAAAGACCCGCUUUUUUCCUCUCCACUUCAGCCCUGAUGCCUUUGAGGUUUUUAGUUGGCCACAGCUACUUAAAACAGAUUACAAACGGCUGAGACAAGAAACGCUAUGCCAUCCUUUUAGAAUGUAAACAUGCCGACGCUAAUCAUGAUGCUGCAGCCGCUGGAGGAGUUACUCAGCACGGAUUUCCCUCGAGAUCCGGUGCGUUUAGACUCCUUGUGGGGAAAAAUCGAUGGUACGGCAUUUAAGAGUUCUUUUGCAGGUCCUUCAGUGCCUUAGCCUGGUGCACCUGCAGUAACGCCAUGGCGUGUAAGGCGGAAGCAGUUUCCCCACAAGUCACAUAGGCACUGCCAGAACGAGCCCCAGAUCGUGGCAGAGGCAGCGGGACUCCGCCCCCCUGAAGGUAGCGGAGCCUGGUUCGCAGCUCAGAGAUGGUCAUCUUCCAGCAGUGGGAACAUUAUGCAUCCACAAAGGCCACCUCAGCGUACUUGACGCCCAGACAUGUGAGGCAGUAAUCGUGACCAUCACCCGGUGCCAGGUAACGACCGCACCCAGAAACGCACGGGCAGAUUUCUGCCCCUGUUCUGCGGGCAGAAAUCGCAGUCCUACUGGCGAAGGACGCGAUAGAGCUGGUCCCUCCAGCCGAUAUGAGGGUGGGGUUUUACAGCCCUUACUUCAUUGUACUCAAGAAAGGCGGUGGGUUACGGCCAAUCUUGGAUCUGCGAGUUUUGAACUGGGCCUUUCAUCAGCUACCGUUCAAGAUGUUGACACAGAAACCCAUCUUCGGGUGCGUCCGUCCCCGAAAUUGGUUUGCAGCAAUCGACCUGAAGGAUGCGUACUUUCAUGUGUCGAUCCUUCUGCACCACAGACCUUUUCUUCGAUUUGCGUUCGAAGGACGGGCAUAUCAGUACAAGGUCUUCACGAAAGUCGCGGAGGCAGAUCUUGUUCUCCUCAGAGAGCAGGGUGUUCGCAUUCUCAACUAUCUAGAUGAUUGGCUGAUACUAGCACAGUCUCGGGAUCAGUUGUGCGAGCACAGGGACUUGAUGCUCCGGCACUUCAGCCUGUUGGGCCUUCGGGUCAACUGGGAAAAGAGCAAACGCUCCCAGACGCAGAAGAUCUCUUUUCUCGGUAUGGAGUUGGAUUCGGUCGAAUAGACAGCACGCCUCACAGAGGAACGUGCGUGGUCGGUGCUAGCCUGCUUGAAUAUGUUCAAGGGGAGGACAGCGGUCCCACUGAAACUUUUUUCAGAGGCUCCUGGAGCAUAUGGCGGCCGCAGCAGCACUUAAACUGCUUGGCCUGUUACAUAUGAGACCGCUCCAGCACUGGCUUUAUGGCCGAGUCCCGAGGUGGGUGUGGAAGCGCGGCACUCACCGGGUCCAAGUUACACCGGCCUGUCGCCAAACCCUCACCCCGUGGUCAGAUCUUGCAUUUCUCCGGGCAGGGGUGCCCCUAGAGCAGAUCAUCAGGCGUGCUGUGGUUUACACGGAUGCCUCCACCACUGGCUGGGGGGCCACAUACAAUGGGCAUGCAGUCUCAGGGGUUUGGACGGGCCUGCAGCUGCGGUGGCACAUCAGUUGCCUAGAGUUGUUAGCAGUGCGCCUUGCCUUGAACCAUCUCAAAGGUUGCUUACCAGGCAAGCACGUGCUGGUCCGAACGGACAACACAGCGACCAUUGCGUACAUCAACUGACAAGGUGGUCUGCACUACCGUCGCAUGUUAAAUCCUUCCUGGCCCACCUCGAUACCCUCUUGGGACCUGACUCUGGUGCUGAAAUCACUACAGCAGGUCCCAUUCGAGCCUUUGCAUUCAGUUGAGCUAAAGUUUCUUUCAUUGAAAACUCUGCUCCUGCUUGCACUGGCCUCCAUCAAGAGGGUAGGGGACCUGCAUGCAUUUUCAGUUGACGAUUCGUGCCUAGAGUUUGGGCCGGCUGACUCCCAGGUAAUCCUGAGGCCCGGCCCGGCUACGUGCCCAAGGUUCCCACUACACCCUUCAACGACCAAGUGGUGAACCUGCAAGCGCUGCCCCUGGAGGAGGCAGACCCAGCCCUGGCUUUUCUCUGUCCAGUCCGAGCAUUAAGAUGCUACGUAGAAUGGACACAAAGCUUCAGGACCUCAGACCAGCUCUUUGUCUGUUACAGAGGCCGGCAGAAGGGGAAUGCCGUCUCUAACCAGAGGAUGGCCCACUGGAUUGUGGAUGCCAUAACCCUGGCUUAUUAGGCACAGGGUGUGCCCUGCCCGUUCAGGUUGCGAGCUCACUCAACUAGAAGUGUUGCAUCCUCCUUGGUGCUGGCUCGUGGCACCUCGCUGACAGAUAUUUGUUGAGCUGCGGGAUGGGUGACCCCUAACACGUUCGCUAGAUUCUAUAGACUUCGUGUAGAACCAGUAUCCUCCUGUGUACUCACCUUAAACGGGUAGUGGCACCGAGAGGCCCCGGUUAGUGUCGGCUUGCUAAA